UACAGAGGUCCCAAGCGUUGUUCGGAUUCACUGGGCGUAAAGGGCGCGUAGGCGGUCGGGUAAGUCUGCUGUGAAAUCUCACAGCUUAACUGUGAAACUGCAUUGGAUACUAUCCGGCUAGAGGAAUGGAGGGGAGACUGGAAUACUUGGUGUAGCAGUGAAAUGCGUAGAUAUCAAGUGGAACACCAGUGGCGAAGGCGAGUCUCUGGACAUUUCCUGACGCUGAGGCACGAAAGCCAGGGGAGCAAACGGG
rnacentral:rRNA from 1 species